UGAAACCGUGUGCCUACAAGUAGUUAGAGCCCGUUAAUGGGUGAUAGCGUGCCUUUUGUAGAAUGAACCGGCGAGUUACGAUUUGUUGCAAGGUUAAGCGGAAAAAGCGGAGCCGUAGCGAAAGCGAGUCUGAAUAGGGCGCAUAAGUAACAGGUCGUAGACCCGAAACCAGGUGAUCUACCCAUGUCCAGGAUGAAGGUAAGGUAAUACUUACUGGAGGUCCGAACCCACGCACGUUGAAAAGUGCGGGGAUGAGGUGUGGGUAGCGGAGAAAUUCCAAUCGAACUUGGAGAUAGCUGGUUCUCUCCGAAAUAGCUUUAGGGCUAGCCUCGAGGUAAAGAGUCAUGGAGGUAGAGCACUGUUUGGACUAGGGGCCCUUCUCGGGUUACCGAAUUCAGAUAAACUCCGAAUGCCAUGUACUUAUACUCGGGAGUCAGACUGCGAGUGAUAAGAUCCGUAGUCGAAAGGGAAACAGCCCAGACCACCAGUUAAGGUCCCCAAAUAUAUGUUAAGUGGAAAAGGAUGUGGGGUUGCUUAGACAACCAGGAUGUUGGCUUAGAAGCAGCCACCAUUGAAAGAGUGCGUAAUAGCUCACUGGUCGAGUGACCCCGCGCCGAAAAUGUACCGGGGCUAAACAUAUUACCGAAACUGUGGAUGAACCUCUUUAGAGGUUCGUGGUAGGAGAGCGUUCUAAGGGCGGUGAAGUCAGACCGGAAGGACUGGUGGAGCGCUUAGAAGUGAGAAUGCCGGUAUGAGUAGCGAAAGAAGGGUGAGAAUCCCUUCCACCGAAUAUCUAAGGUUU
rnacentral:rRNA from 1 species